AUGCUAGUCSAGCGGUAGCACAGAGAGCUUGCUCUCGGGUGACGAGCGUCGGACGGGUGAGUAUUGUUUGGGAAACUGUCUGAUGGAGGGGGAUAACUACUGGAAACGGUAGUUUAAACCGCAUAACGUCGCAAGACCAAAGAGGGGGACCUUCGGGCCUCUUGCCAUCAGAUGUGCCCAGAUGGGAUUAGCUAGUAGGUGGGGUAACGGCUCACCUAGGCGACGAUCCCUAGCUGGUCUGAGAGGAUGACCAGCCACACUGGAACUGAGACACGGUCCACACUCCUACGGGAGGCAGCAGUGGGGAAUAUUGCACAAUGGGCGCAAGCCUGAUGCAGCCAUGCCGCGUGUAUGAAGAAGGCCUUCGGGUUGUAAAGUACUUUCAGCGGGGAGGAAGGUGUUGAGGUUAAUAACCUCAGCAAUUGACGUUACCCGCAGAAAAAGCACCGGCUAACUCCGUGCCAGCAGCCGCGGUAAUACGGAGGGUGCAAGCGUUAAUCGGAAUUACUGGGCGUAAAGCGCACGCAGGCGGUCUGUCAAGUCGGAUGUGAAAUCCCCGGGCUCAACCUGGGAACUGCAUUCGAAACUGGCAGGCUAUAGUCUUGUAGAGGGGGGUAGAAUUCCAGGUGUAGCGGUGAAAUGCGUAAAGAUCUGGAGGAAUACCGGUGGCGAAGGCGGCCCCCUGGACAAAGACUGACGCUCAGGUGCGAAAGCGUGGGGAGCAAACAGGAUUAAAUACCCUCGGAGUCCACGCCGUAAACAAUGUCGACUUGGAGGUUGUGCCCUUGAGGCGUGGUUUCCGAAGUUAACCCGUUAAAUCGACCCCCUGGGGAGUACCGCCGCCAGGUUAAAAACUCCAAUGAAUUGACGGGGGCCCGCACAAGCGGUGGAGCAUGUGGGUUUAAUUUUAUGCAACGCGAAGAAACCUUACCCUACUCUUUGACAUCCCAAAGAACUUUGCAAAGAUGCUUUUGUGUGCUUUUGGGGAACUCUUAGACACGUGCUGCAUGGCUGUCGUCCAGCAUCGUGGUUGUGAAAAUGUUGGGGUUAAAAUCCCGCAAACGAGCGCAAACCCCUUAAUCCUUGAUGGUCACUCGGCUUCAGGCCGGGGAACUUCAAAAGGGAGAACUGUUUC
rnacentral:rRNA from 1 species